AGCGUUAACGAACGAGACCUCGACCUGCUAAAUAGUUCGCUUCAGACUUCGGUCUGAUGACAUUCACGUGACUUCUUAGAGGGACUAUCGGUGUGUAGCCGAUGGAAGUUCGAGGCAAUAACAGGUCUGUGAUGCCCUUAGAUGUUCUGGGCCGCACGCGCGCUACACUGAUCAAGUCAACGAGUUUACAACCUUGGCCGGAAGGUCUGGGUAAUCUUUUGAAACUUGAUCGUGCUGGGGAUAGUCCAUUGCAAUUAUUGGACUUCAACGAGGAAUUCCUAGUAAGCGUGAGUCAUCAGCUCGCGUUGAUUACGUCCCUGCCCUUUGUACACACCGCCCGUCGCUAUUACCGAUUGAAUGGAUA
rnacentral:rRNA from 1 species